rfam:Streptomyces sp. NRRL WC-3618 P435contig20.1, whole genome shotgun sequence.
GGAGAGGUGCCCGGAGUGGUUAUCGGGGAUCGGGAUUCGUCUCGGUCGGGUGGUUUUGCCCGCCUGCGCAGGUUCGAAUCCUGCCCUCUCCG